UAGUAUGAGUGCUGUACACAGUAAGUG
rnacentral:piRNA from 1 species